CCCGGCGACCGGCGCACGGGUGAGUAACACGUAUGCAACCUGGCCGUGACAGAUGGAUAACCGGGAGAAAUCCCGCCUAAUACAACAUAAUGCCGGGAGGGGACAUCCCCUGCCGGCCAAAGGGGGCGACCCCGGUCACGGAUGGGCAUGCGGCGCAUUAGGUAGUUGGUGGGGCAACGGCCCACCAAGCCGACGAUGCGUAGGGGUUCUGAGAGGAAGGUCCCCCACAUUGGAGCUGAGACACGGUCCAAACUCCUACGGAAGGCAGCAG
rnacentral:rRNA from 1 species